GCGGCUGUAGCUCAGUGGUAGAGCGCAGGCUUGUGGAGCUUGAUGCCGCGAGUUCGAUCCUCGUCGGCCGCCCCA
rnacentral:tRNA from 1 species